ensembl:snRNA U7 U7 small nuclear RNA
AAGCACUGCAGCUUUUAGAAUUUGUCUAGCAGGUUUUCUGAUUUUCGCUAGAGGUCCCCC